rnacentral:rRNA from 1 species
CCUACGGGAGGCAGCAGUGAGGAAUAUUGGUCAAUGGACGAGAGUCUGAACCAGCCAAGUAGCGUGAAGGAUGACUGCCCUAUGGGUUGUAAACUUCUUUUAUAAAGGAAUAAAACGAGGCACGUGUGCCUUUUUGCAUGUACUUUAUGAAUAAGGAUCGGCUAACUCCGUGCCAGCAGCCGCGGUAAUACGGAGGAUCCGAGCGUUAUCCGGAUUUAUUGGGUUUAAAGGGAGCGUAGAUGGGUUGUUAAGUCAGUUGUGAAAGUUUGCGGCUCAACCGUAAAAUUGCAAUUGAUACUGGCAGUCUUGAGUACAGUUGAGGUAGGCGGAAUUCGUGGUGUAGCGGUGAAAUGCUUAGAUAUCACGAAGAACCCCGAUUGCGAAGGCAGCUUACUAAACUGUAACUGACGCUGAGGUUCGAAAGCGUGGGUAGCAAACAGGAUUAGAUACCCCAGUAGUC